rnacentral:rRNA from 1 species
ACUCCUACGGGAGGCAGCAGUGGGGAAUUUUGGACAAUGGGCGAAAGCCUGAUCCAGCAAUGCCGCGUGAGUGAAGAAGGCCUUCGGGUUGUAAAGCUCUUUUGUCAGGGAAGAAACGGUGAAAGCUAAUAUCUUUUGCUAAUGACGGUACCUGAAGAAUAAGCACCGGCUAACUACGUGCCAGCAGCCGCGGUAAUACGUAGGGUGCAAGCGUUAAUCGGAAUUACUGGGCGUAAAGCGUGCGCAGGCGGUUUUGUAAGUCUGAUGUGAAAUCCCCGGGCUCAACCUGGGAAUUGCAUUGGAGACUGCAAGGCUAGAAUCUGGCAGAGGGGGGUAGAAUUCCACGUGUAGCAGUGAAAUGCGUAGAUAUGUGGAGGAACACCGAUGGCGAAGGCAGCCCCCUGGGUCAAGAUUGACGCUCAUGCACGAAAGCGUGGGGAGCAAACAGGAUUAGAUACCCUAGUAGUCCCA